CGGCUGUAGCCACAUCCAACUCCGUAGAAGUUAACUGGCCGGUUGUUGUCAAUUUCCCGUCGACAAAUCUGCUUACCGAACUUCUCACAUUC
rfam:Eucalyptus grandis cultivar BRASTZ1 unplaced genomic scaffold scaffold_4, whole genome shotgun sequence.